UGCAUUCACUACUGUAAGUCGCUCUGGAUAAGGGCGUCUGCUAAACGACUAAAA
rfam:Salmo salar isolate Sally breed double haploid chromosome ssa01, whole genome shotgun sequence.